UGCUUGCACCUCCAGUGUUGGA
rnacentral:misc_RNA from 1 species